GACGAACGCUGGCGGCGUGCUUAACACAUGCAAGUCGAACGGUGAAGCUCCAGCUUGCUGGAGUGGAUCAGUGGCGAACGGGUGAGUAACACGUGAGCAACCUGCCCCUGACUCUGGAAUAAGCGCUGGAAACGGCGUCUAAUACUGGAUACGAGAAGGGUCCGCAUGGGCACUUUCUGGAAAGUUUUUCGGUUGGGGAUGGGCUCGCGGCCUAUCAGCUUGUUGGUGAGGUAAUGGCUCACCAAGGCGACGACGGGUAGCCGGCCUGAGAGGGCGACCGGCCACACUGGGACUGAGACACGGCCCAGAAUCCUACGGGAGGCAGCAGUGGGAAAUAUUGCGCAAUGGGCGAAAGCCUGAUGCAGCGACGCCGCGUGCGGGAUGACGGCCUUCGGGUUGUAAACCUCUUUCAGCAGGGAAGAAGCGAAAGUGACGGUACCUGCAGAAGAAGCACCGGCUAACUACGUG
rnacentral:rRNA from 1 species